rnacentral:rRNA from 1 species
AGAGUCUGAUCACGGCUCAGGAUGAACGUUGGCGAUGUGCCUGAAGUAUGCAAGUCGGACGCCCUGAACUAUUUAUAGUACGGGGAGUGGCAAACGGGUGAGUAACGCGUAGGUAACCUGCCCCAAAGUCGGGGAUAGCCCGCCGAAAGGCGGUGUAAUAUCUGAUAGUCUCUUCUAGCGUAAGCUACGAAGAGUAAAGCCCCGGCGCUUUGGGAGGGGCCUGCGUCCUAUCAGCUUGUUGGUAGUGUAAAAGACUACCAAGGCUAAGACGGGUAGCUGGAGUGAGAGCUUGACCAGCCACAAUUGGGACUGAGACACGGCCCAUACUCCUACGGGAGGCAGCAAUUAGGAAUCUUGCGCAAUGGGGGCAACCCUGACGCAGCGACAUCGCGUGGAGGACGAAGGUCUUAGGAUUGUAAACUCCUUUUCUAUGGGAAGAAUAACUGACGGUACCAUAGGAAUAAGUGCCUGCUAACUACGUGCCAGAAGCAUCGGUGAUGCGUAGGGCGCGAACGUUAUCCGGAUUUAUUGGGCGUAAAGAGAUGCGUAGGCGUUUUAGUAAGUCUUUUGUCAAAUCCCUCAGCUUAACUGAGGACAGGCAUUGGAAACUGCUUUAAUUGAGACAGAGAGAGGUGAAUGGAAUUCCUGGUGGAGCGGCGAAAUGCGUUGAUAUCAGGAGGAACACCAGUGGCGAAGGCGAUUCACUGGCUCUGUUCUGACGCUGAGGCUCGAAAGCGUGGGUAGCAAAACGGAUUAGAUACCCGUGUAGUCCACGCCGUAAACGAUGGAUGCUAGGUGUUUGGUACAACUGUUUCAUUUCUUCGGAUUUGAUUCAGCGGUAUUGAGUGCCGUAGUUAACGCGAUAAGCAUCCCGCCUGAGGACUACGGUCGCAAGGCUAAAACUCAAAUGAAUUGGCGGGGACCCGCACAAGCGGAGGAGCGCGUGGUUUAAUUCGACGUAAUCGAAGAACCUUACCAGGGCUUGACAUAUAGCUGCUAAACCUAUGAAAAUAGGAGUCCUUCGAGGGUGCUAUACAGGUACUGCAUGGCCGUCGUCAGCUCGUGUCGUGAGAUGUAGGGUUAAGUCCCGAAACGAGCGCAACCCCUAUCCUAUGUUAUAAGUGUCUUAGGAGACUGCCUCGGUAAAACGUGGAGGAAGGUGGGGAUGACGACUGGUCCGCAUGGUCCUUAUGUCCUGGGCGACACACGCGCUGCAAUGGUCGGUACAAUGGGAAGCCAAACCGCAAGGUGGAGCAAAUCCUGUAAAACCGGCCUCAGUUCGGAUUGAGGUCUGCAACUCGACCUCAUGAAGUUGGAUUCGCUAGUAAUCGUGGAUCAGCCAUGCCACGGUGAAUACGUUCUCGGGUCUUGCACACACCGCCCGUCAUGUCAUGGAAGUAGGUGAUACCCGAAGGUGUUUUGUUUUCGGAUGGAAUAACGAAGGUAAUGCCUAUGACUGGGAUAAAGUCGUAACAAGGUA